AUUGAACGCUGGCGGCAUGCCUAACACAUGCAAGUCGAACGGGUUGUAGCAAUACAACUAGUGGCGGACGGGUGAGGAAUACAUAGGAAUUUGCCUUUAGGUGGGGGAUAGCCCGGGGAAACUCGGAGUAAUACCGCAUGAUGUCGCAAGACCAAAGCCGGGGAUCGCAAGACCUGGCGCCUUUAGAGAAGCCUAUGUCUGAUUAGCUAGUUGGUAGGGUAAUGGCCUACCAAGGCGACGAUCAGUAACUGGUCUGAGAGGACGAUCAGUCACACCGGAACUGAGACACGGUCCGGACUCCUACGGGAGGCAGCAGUGGGGAAUAUUGGACAAUGGGCGAAAGCCUGAUCCAGCAAUGCCGCGUGUGUGAAGAAGGCCUCGG
rnacentral:rRNA from 1 species